UUGGUCAACCCACGGCGGUUUCAAUUUUAAAGUUUCCGCCCGCGCUGACGUCAGGAUUGCGACGGCGAGUAUGCAUGCGCAAACGCUCAGCGCCCGCCCUCGUCGCCGGAAGUGUCCGCAUCGGCGGCUCAACGCGCUCCGGGCUCCUCCCAGGUCAUCGUCGGUGUCGGCGACCUGAAGGGAGUUCCAUCCUAUCCGGGAAGCUGGCGUCUAGGACGAGUAGUGCUGUCGGGCGGAGCGGCCCGAGCCCUCCUGGAGUCGAGUUCCGUACAGCAAUAUGGCCGUGUCCUGGAACUAGAAAGCGAGGGUUUGUUUCCGAAAGGAUGGAGGCCAGGACCUGUUUUAGAUGAGUGUUGUUUCCACGUGGCGAGCCUGGGAGGCGGCGUGACGUUUCCUGACGGUAGGAGAGGCUGUCGAGAGUGGCGGCGGAAGAGCCUGAGGGAUAUUUAUCGUCAGGCUGCCUCAAGUGCUGUGGACUACCGCCGCCCAGGGUCGGAACUACAAGCAGGCGUUGCCAGUUCCCGCACGGUGGUGGCCUGUCCCUGGGCUAAAGUGUAGAUGAUUCCGGGGUCUCAGCGCAAUUGUGCCAUUAGCUAGUUUUGAGCUAAGCAUUUUUUUUUUUUUUUUUGAGAGUUUGAGGUUCCCUAGCAGUCACAGUGUCUCCUCACAUCACGUCUCGACUGGGAAACCAAAAUCUCAGGACACUCACCUUUUAAGGAUUUAGUGACUUGAAUACUUGGACCAUGUGGACUCGUGCCUUGAUUCGAGGACCAAAACAGGACCACAGAGGACACCCGAAGAAAGGAGAAUCAAACUAAGAAGCGUCUUUGACUACAUUGGCUGAAAAUUUUGAAUGACCAAUUCUGAAAUUAAAAGACACUUAAAGUAUCGCAUUUUUCCUUAGAGGUGAUAUGUACACACUCACCUUGUAUGUUUAAAUAUAAAACCUUCUUGUGUGUACAAAGUACAUCGUUGAUAUACAGGACAUUAAGAACUUAAUUACAACAUUGGUAUCAACCCAGGACCCCCAUACUGAGCUAUACUCCCAGUCCUAGUUCUGAUUCUUGAUUAUCAGUUUUUUGUUUUUGUUUUUUGUUUUUUUGUGAGAAUGUCUGUGGUGCAUCAUUUGCCUCCUGGGUGGUUACUGGAUCAUCUUUCUUUCAUUAACAAAGUAAACUAUCAACUUUGCCAGCAUCAAGAGUCUUUUUGUAGUAAAAACAACCCUACUUCUUCUGUCUACAUGGAUUCUCUUCAGCUGGAUCCCGGGUCUCCUUUUGGAGCUCCUGCUAUGUGCUUUGCUCCUGACUUCACUACUGUGUCGGGCAAUGACGAUGAAGGAAGUUGUGAAGUGAUCACCGAAAAAUAUGUUUUCCGAUCUGAGCUAUUUAAUGUCACCAAACCUUACAUAGUUCCAGCUGUUCACAAAGAGCGCCAACAAAGUAACAAAAACGAAAAUCUAGUGACUGACUAUAAACAAGAGGUCUCUGUUUCUGUUGGGAAGAUCAGAGAGCUGAUUUUGGAUGGAUCUUCGAAGUUAAUCCAAGAAGGUCUCAGAAGUGGUUUUCUUUACCCACUUGUUGAAAAACAGGAUGGAAGUAGCGGAUGCAUCACUUUACCACUUGAUGCCUGCAAUUUAUCAGAGUUAUGUGAGAUGGCAAAACAUUUGCCUUCCUUAAAUGAAAUGGAGCUUCAAACGCUACAGUUGAUGGGAGAUGAUGUGUCUGUUAUAGAGCUGGAUUUAUCCUCACAGAUCAUUGAAAACAACUCCAGCUUUUCCAAAAUGAUUACUUUAAUGGGACAAAAAUACCUGCUGCCACCACAAAGCAGCUUUCUUUUGUCUGACAUUUCUUGUAUGCAGCCACUUCUUAACUGUGGUAAGACAUUUGAUGCAAUUGUGAUUGAUCCACCAUGGGAGAACAAAUCGGUUAAAAGAAGUAACAGGUACAGUAGUUUAUCACCACAGCAGAUAAAGCGAAUGCCUAUCCCUAAACUGGCUGCUGCUGACUGUCUCAUUGUUACUUGGGUGACCAACAGGCAGAAACAUCUGUGUUUUGUGAAGGAGGAACUAUAUCCUUCGUGGUCUGUGGAAGUUGUUGCAGAGUGGUACUGGGUAAAAGUGAGUUCAAAAGUUAGCUUGUCUGUUAUCUCAGCAUCACUUUUCACUUCCAGGAAGAUGCUGACUGUUCUCAGUGUGUCCACGGCACUGCUGUCCUCCUCAGGCUCUGACAAGAACUGUUCAUGCUUUGUAUCUGAACACCAGUCUUCCUGCUCUCAAGAUCACAAAUUCAGGAGAGUUUGUGUUCCCGUUGGAUUCUCCACACAAAAAGCCUUAUGAAUGUCUUGUACUGGGGAGAGUUAAAGAAAAAACUCCCUUAGCAUUAAGGAAUCCAGAUGUAAGAAUACCCCCAGUUCCAGAUCAGAAGUUGAUUGUCAGUGUGCCCUGUGUUCUUCACUCACACAAACCGCCUCUUACCGAAGUUCUGAGAGACUACAUCAAGCCAGGUGGCCAGUGCUUGGAAUUGUUUGCUAGGAAUUUACAGCCAGGUUGGAUGAGUUGGGGCAACGAAGUCCUCAAGUUUCAGCACAUGGAUUAUUUCAUUGCUCUGGAGUCCGGAUGCUGACUGUAAAAGUUGUGCUGUCUUUACCUCAGCUCCUUCCUUCAAACUUAUUUCCCCUUGUACCAGUCAGUGUGCUUAGACAUAUGAACUUUUACACCAUUCAGUGUACCCAGAAGUAUAAAUUUUAUACCAAUCAAUGUGCAUAGAAAUAUACAUACAUCUCCUACAGCCCUUUAUAGUGAGUCUCUUCCUUCCUUCCUUGAUCUCUGGCGAACAGUGGUUUGUUUUCUUACGUUAGUGUUUCCUAACGUUGUGUCUGGCUUCUUCCACUGAGCAUUCAGGAAAACCACUGACACUGUAUAUAAACCACUCGCUGCUUACUAAGGGGAUUGUUAGACUGAAAGUACUUGGACAAGCUUGCUUCACCUACCCACUGAUUUCAUCAGACAUUAAUUUUGAGGUUUGUUCAUCUUUUGAGGGCCUAAGACUAAUAUCUUUUAUUAUUCCUUUAAACUGCCAGUUGAAUACAAGGCUCAUUGAAUUAUUAAGUAUAUUCCUUUAAGCUUUUUAUGGAGUUUUCCUGUCUAAAUUUUUUGAUUUGUUUCCAUGCACCAGAUAUCCUGACCUGCACCUGACUUUCUGCCUUAAAAAUAAAACCAAGGGCACACCUAGCUUGAGACUAGCUUAGUUGUUGCCCUUGCUCUGCCCUCCAUGUGGGAUUUAUCUACUGUGUCCAUGUCAGUUCUCAAACUCAUCUUCCCUGGGGUCCCAAGUCUCCCUUUUCAAGCUCCCAACUCUAGAGACAGUUCAUCUAGUUGGAUGGACACUCACAAUGUAGCCCAGGUUAGCCUUCAACUUUAAUCUUCUUACAUUGGGUUCCAGGCAUGCAUCAUUAUACCAGGCCCUAGAUGUAAACCCUGAAAGAAUUUUUAGUUUCAAGAACACAUGAGGUUAAGGCUUUUCUACUCAUAUGAUUCAAAAGACUGUAACUAUUUCAAAGGGCUAGUCUAUGUUUUUUCUUUUUCUUUAAUUUUUUUAAAAAAGUACUAUUUCUAUGUAUUUGGGUGUUUGUAUAUAUGUAUGUGCACUAUGUAUGUGCCUGAUGCCUGCAUAGGCCAAAAGAAUCAUUAGAUCCCCUGGAGGGAUGAUUGUGAGCCAUUCUUUAGAAGAGCAACCCGUGCUCUAAACCGCUAAACCACCUUCAGCCUUGGGCCUCACAUUCUUUGAAGGAGUUUCUAUGUCCCCUCACUUUUCCUAUCAUGUACCACCAACUUGUUGCGGGCUUGGGGUUUCCCACUCGCACCCGUUUCUGAAAUGACUCUGAGACUUAAUUGUUUAUGAAUAAAUGCCUAGGCCAUAAGUUUUGGCUCAUUUCCCAACUAAUUUGUAACUUAUAUAAUCUGUUUGUUCUAGUUUGUGUCUGCCACAUGGUUGGUUACCUCUCCUUAGUUUCAUAUGCCCGAUUGCUCUUAGUCCAGGUGGCCGAUCUUACUGCUCUUGUAUCUUUCCCAGAAUUCUUUCUUUCUCUGCUGGAUGUCCCACCUUCUAUUUCCUGCCUCAGCUAAUAGGCCAUUAGGUUUUUAUUGACAGGUGAUGCUUCUACACAGUACAUAAGAGAUUUUCUCUACAACUUGUCACAUCCUCGGAAGUGCUAAAGCACUGUGUGUACAGUUCCCAGUUUACCAAUAUCUUGCUUUAUCCUCAAUACAUGCUUAUGAAGAUACAGCUAAGAUGAGGGAGCAGGUCCUCAGAAUAACUGGUGUGGCUGGAGACUAAGAAUUGAAUUCUAUUUGGGUUCCUUACUGAAGGUACUUUAUGUUGUACCAUUUGCUAAUGAACCUGAGAUGUUUAUUCAUUUUCAUUUUUAAAAAUUUUAUGCUUAUAGUGUCUUGUUUGCAUGUAUGUAUGUGUGCUACAUGUGUGCCUUGUGUCAGUAAAUGUCAGAAGAUGAUGUUGGAUACUCUAGAACUGUAGUUACAGGUGGUUGCGAGCUGCCACACAUGUGCUAGGAAUUUGAACAGCAAGUACUUUUAACCAUAAAGCUGUCUCUUUAUUCCUGAACCUGAGAUCUUAACAGUUGUAUUAGCUCCUACUCAAAGGGCUCAUUGUGUAUAUGUUUAGAAUAUUUCUUACAUUAUCAUGGAAACAUAUACCCUUUUCAGUGUACUUCAGCAUCACAUAGCAUUUGUUUCCUUAAGUUCGUGACACAGUGUUUCCUGUUAAAGAUUUUAUAGGUAAAUUGAUAGCCUGAGAGAGGUUUAAGAUCUAAUGGGCUGGUAACAACUUUGACUAAGCCAUUGGGUUUAUCUACUCAGUCACAUUUUAAGGAAGUUCUACAAAACACUUGAGUACAGGUAGUUAAAAGGGGGAGAUUCCACAGUCCAACUCAUGUUGUCUGUUAAUCUCUGUUUGGCUGUAUGACCAACCCAAAAUUCUACAGGGAGUCUUAAUUACCAGUUCAGUUACUAAUCUACUUGAGUUUGAUGACAAGUCAGAACUGUAUGUUGCUGAAUCACACAGCCAACCUUUUCUGUGUAAAUAUUCUUAAAUAUCUAGAUCUCCCAGUUCCUGUGAACUUGAGUUAGAUCUACAGAUUUUCCUCCCAAGAUCAAUCCAAAUUCUUGGACCAGGUAAGAACAGAUGACUUGUAGGAGUGGAGAACAGAGGAGCAACAUUGUCCACACUGGUCUUUCAGGUUUGACAGGCCUAGUAUCCAGUGUUGACAGCAGGCUACCUACAGUGACAGCUCAAGGAAGCAAAUGGUCGGUGGCAGUAUGAGAAUUGCUUUAUUCCAUGUUGUUAAAGACAAUAUAGCAUCCAGAUGUUUUGUCAUUUAACACAGGCUGGUUUUGAACUUGCUAUGUAAUUAAGGCUCGUACUUUUACCCAAUAAACCUGGCCUAAAAAUCAUCUUUACUAGAGAAACAUACAAACUUAUGCAACACAAUAUAUAGAUACCAGCACCAUCUCAGAUAUAUAAUCCAAAAGGCAGAGCCCCUUGGGCUCCAUGUGAUGGUUAUUUUUGACAGCAUACUUCAUUGAUUGAAAGUACCUUAAGAAAGUCACAAACGACAUCUAGUGUGCCUGAGAAUGUUCUCAGGGAGUAUUCAUCAGGGAAGAAACUCCUGCUGCAUUUGUGAGGCUCCAUAUGAUUUGCUAGGGGUCCAUGUGAAAUAACAGGAGAAAGAGGAAAAAAAAAAAAACCAGCUGGCAUGACCAUACUUUUGCUCUCUGGCUGUCAUGUAAACCGCACAGCUUUGCCAUGCUCUCCCUUCCCUAUCCCACCCCACUAUAAUGGACUAAACUAAAAACUGAGCAAAACUGAGCUUUCCUUCCCUUAAGUUGUUUAUGUCAGGUGUGCUGUCCCAGGGAUGAGGAAGCUAAAAUGGUUUCCUGGUACUUUGAGCAGAUUGCAGCUUACUCUCCCAGUUGUUACUCACGACUGUGAAAGCAGCAGCAACAGAACACAGGCGUGCACUUCUGCCAUGGAGAAGCAGCAGCAUUAGGAAAUGCUGUUUCUCCUUUUAAGCAUCUGUCUCCUCCAUCUUUCCCAGCAUCGGUUAGCAUCGAUGUACCUGGUACUGGCUCACUUCUGGAUAGGAUUUGCAUCCAGAGUCUGUUAAGAUUUGCGUUUGGUGUACACUGCUGCAAAACCAGGAGAAAGCUGAGCUCAACAGCAGAGGGGCAACUGUCAGGCCACAGCUGGGCUGCUUUUGGAGCCUUUCAGUGUGGCUCAGAUAAUCUCUCUCCUUGUUUAUAAGGUUAUAUGAGGUAGCAUACCAAUGCAUGGCAGACCAAUGUGCCAAAAUAUGCUUUGGACUGAGGUUGAUUUUAAGCUGAGGUUGAUAAUCAGAAAAAAGAAAAAAAUACCUGCCUUGACCUCAUUUGUUAGAAAGCAGGAUAUGAGUUUAUAAAGAUGGCUGUCCUUUCUCUAUAAGGAAAGGCUGAGGACUGAAGUGUAUCAUUAACUUGAAGGAAUUCUAUGUCCUUAUCAUCCUGGGGACAAUACCUUUCUAUCACCAGCACUGGCUUCUCCACAUCUCAUAAGGUAAGAGAUUCAGAUCCUUUCCCUUUGUUUUAGCUCUUCUCUGGUUUAUUAUUCUCUGUUGAAGAUAUUGUUCUAAACCAGACUGCUAAGCCACUUGUGGGAAUUUCUUAUUCCCUGGGUAACUCCUGUGUGGGUUUGAAAUACACAUGUUUAUAAGCUUCUGUUUGUUUUUCUCUUGUUAAUCUGUCUUUUAUAGCAGAGGCCCCAGCAAAGAAUUUAUACAGAUAGAGGGAACAUUUUUCCCUCCCUCAUACAUACCACAUUGAAACUGCCAAUCUAUAAUGACUUAAUGAGCACACUCUUACCUUAAUAUAUCCGUGGACUUAAAUGAAUAGACAUGACUUGUGUAAGAAAUUAGCAGACUGUCACUGUGGAGUGGGGCAGGAGCUUAGGGAUCACUAAGAGGGAAAAUGAAGGGGCACAUUGAUUAAAUUUCAUUCUAUUUCCUAACUCAGGCUAGUGGUUGUAAUGUUGUUAAGAGUCAAUAGGCAACAGAAUGUGAUAUUUCAGAAGCGUUACAAUGACACAUUGUCCUCUAGAUUGUAAACUUAAAAAAUAGAUAUGAAUGUACAUGAUUUCGUCAAUUUAAUAAAAUGAUAUUAAAUUUA